ACAAUCCUAACCUCAACCGACGCGUACCCGGGCAGGCAGGGAAGUUGGGUGCAAAGCCCACACGGUCCCGCCACUGUGAGCGGUCACGAUCCGCGAGUCAGGAAACUGCCGGUCCAAGGGGCAUGUCC
rnacentral:ncRNA from 29 species